rnacentral:rRNA from 1 species
GUGAGGAAUAUUGGUCAAUGGGCGCAAGCCUGAACCAGCCAUGCCGCGUGCAGGAAGACGGUCCUAUGGAUUGUAAACUGCUUUUAUUUGGGAAUAAACCUCCUUACGUGUAGGGAGCUGAAGGUACCAAAUGAAUAAGCACCGGCUAACUCCGUGCCAGCAGCCGCGGUAAUACGGAGGGUGCAAGCGUUAUCCGGAAUCAUUGGGUUUAAAGGGUCCGCAGGCGGUCAUAUAAGUCAGUGGUGAAAGCCUACAGCUCAACUGUAGAACUGCCAUUGAUACUGUAUGACUUGAAUUCGAUCGAAGUGGGCGGAAUGUGACAUGUAGCGGUGAAAUGCUUAGAUAUGGCACAGAACACCAAUUGCGAAGGCAGCUCACUAAGGCGAUACUGACGCUGAGGCACGAAAGCGUGGGGAUCGAACAGGAUUAGAAACCCUGGUAGUCC